AUACGUAGGUGGCAAGCGUUGUCCGGAUUUACUGGGUGUAAAGGGUGCGUAGGCGGGGCAGCAAGUUGGAUGUGAAAUCCUCGGGCUCAACUCGAGAACUGCAUUCAAAACUGUUGCUCUUGAGUGCAGUAGAGGCAAGCGGAAUUCCCGGUGUAGCGGUGAAAUGCGCAGAGAUCGGGAGGAACACCAGUGGCGAAGGCGGCUUGCUGGGCUGAUACUGACGCUGAGGCACUAAAGCAUUGGUAGCAAACAGGAUUAGAUACCCUGGUAGUCCAUGCUGUAAACGAUGAUUACUAGGUGUGGGUGGACUGACCCCAUCCGUGCCGGAGUUAACACAUUAAGUAAUACACCUGGGGAGUACGGCCGCAAGGUUGAAACUCAAAUGAAUUGACGGGU
rnacentral:rRNA from 1 species